rnacentral:misc_RNA from 1 species
AUAGGAUUUAAUUUAUUUGGUUGAAUUUUUCCAGCACAUAAAAGAAAAUUGCACAAUCUUUUCUUAUUAUUUAUAUAUUGCCAUGCCCAUAUGUGCAACUUUAGAUUUUAAAAUUAGAGAGGAAGGUGGCUGUUUCUUUCAAAACAAACUUAAAUGGGUUGAGUUGGUAACUUGAUUUUUUUUUGGGUGCUUUUUACAUGAAAUUGAAGUGUUCACUUGUGAUAAUUAUCUGCUUG